rnacentral:rRNA from 1 species
AAUCAACGCUGGCGGCGUGCCUAACACAUGCAAGUCGCACGCGAAAGCGGACUUCGGUCUGCAAGUACAGUGGCGAGCGGGUGAGUAACACGUGACUAACCUACCCUCGAGUGGGGGAUCACUCCGGGAAAACGGGGCUAAUACCGCAUAAAAUCGCUUGGUGAAUUUCCUUGUGAUAAAAGGAGCAAUUGGCUUGAGGAGGUGGUCGCGUCUGAUUAGCUAGUUGGCAGGGUAACGGCCUACCAAGGCGAUGAUCAGUAGCCGGCCUGAGAGGGCGCACGGCCACACUGGAACUGAAACACGGUCCAGACUCCUACGGGAGGCAGCAGUGGGGAAGUUUGCGCAAUGGGGGAACCCCUGACGCAGCAACGCCGCGUGGAGGAUGAAGUCCUUUGGGAUGUAAACUCCUUUCGACCGGGAAGAUUAUGACGGUACCGGAGGAAGAAGCACCGGCUAACUCUGUGCCAGCAGCCGCUGUAA